rnacentral:tmRNA from 1 species
GGGAGCGUAAAGGUUUCGACAGGGAGUAUGAACACCGGCAAGCGAGCAGCGGCACUGUGGAACCGCUAUAAAAUCCGCAGACAUAAAAAUAACUGACAAAAGAUCAACUUUUGCCAUCGCUGCUUAAUUAGCAGCGGUCGUUCCUUUCGGAAGUACCACGGUCCGAUAGGGGCGUUGAUUAGUGGUGAACGUGAACGGGAGAGUGUCUUGGCUCUCGUCACGCAUUAGAGACUACCGAAACACAGAGUCUUCUGUCGGACGCUGUGCGUGGGGAAUCCUAAAUCGGCAGAUGCGCUCGGAGAAAACCGAUGGGAGUGCUUUUUGGACAGGGGUUCGACUCCCCUCGCUUCCAC